GCUUUUUGCUUCCUGAUCUUUGUGAUGUCUCAGCAGAGUAGCAUUUUUUAAUCUUUUUCUAGGAAAAAAUAUCUUGGGUUCAACUGGGGUGGGAUCUCAGUCCUCAUCGCGAUCUCACAUGUCUGUGUGAAGAGACCACCAAACAGGCUUUGUAAUUAUUGGUGAUGGCCUGGAUGCGGUUUUGUAUGAACUGAGAAACUAAACAAAAGAGUGGCUGCCAGGUGGAUCUCUUCAGGGAGUGAAGGUGAGGACAGGGGACUGCUGUCCCGAAGGAGUCCCGCUGACCCGGGUCUUCGGCACCAAAUGUCUCAUGCGUCCGUGUGAAGAGACCACCAAACAGGCUUUGUAUCUUCAGUUGCUUCAGGCCAUUUGAACGUAUAUGAGCCGGUCGUAGGGGAUAUGAUGGCUUAGCUUGGGCUCAGAGGCCUGAAAAUCGCCCCCACCAAUCACCUGUUUCCCCCAAUCUACCCUCCUGAAGGUCACUGACAAAGACUUCAUUGUCUCCUA
rnacentral:lncRNA from 1 species